CGGGGGGGCAAGCGUUGUUCGGAAUUACUGGGCGUAAAGGGCGCGUAGGCGGUUUGCUAAGUUGGAUGUCGAAAACUCUGGGCUUAACCCAGAGCCUGCAUCCAAAACUGGCAAACUUGAGUACUGGAGGGGAAAGCGGAAUUCCUGGUGUAGCGGUGAAAUGCGUAGAUAUCAGGAGGAACACCGGUGGCGAAGGCGGCUUUCUGGACAGUAACUGACGCUGAGGCGCGAAAGCUAGGGGAGCAAACAGGAUUAGAUACCCUGGUAGUCCUAGCCCUAAACGAUGGAUACUUGGUGUGAGGGGGAUUGAAUCCCUUCGUGCCGUAGCUAACGCAAUAAGUAUCCCGCCUGGGGAGUACGGUCGCAAGGCUG
rnacentral:rRNA from 1 species